UACGGGGGGGGCAAGCGUUGUUCGGAAUUACUGGGCGUAAAGGGCUCGUAGGUGGCCAACUAAGUCAGACGUGAAAUCCCUCAGCUUAACUGGGGAACUGCGUCUGAUACUGGAUGGCUUGAGUUUGGGAGAGGGAUGUGGAAUUCCAGGUGUAGCGGUGAAAUGCGUAGAUAUCUGGAGGAACAUCGGUGGCGAAGGCGGCAUCCUGGACCGGUAUUGACGCUGAGGCGCGAAAGCCAGGGGAGCAAACGGG
rnacentral:rRNA from 1 species